rnacentral:rRNA from 1 species
UACGUAGGGUGCAAGCGUUAAUCGGAAUUACUGGGCGUAAAGCGUGCGCAGGCGGUUAUGCAAGACAGAUGUGAAAUCCCCCGGGCUCAACCUGGGAACUGCAUUUGUGACUGCAUGGCUAGAGUGCGGCAGAGGGGGGAUGGAAUUCCGCGUGUAGCAGUGAAAUGCGUAGAUAUGCGGAGGAACACCCGAUGGCGAAGGCAAUCCCCUGGGCCUGCACUGACGCUCAUGCACGAAAGCGUGGGGGAGCAAACAGG